CAACCACUACAAUACGUUUGGUAUAGUUACUUCAUCCACUACAAUACGUUUGGUAUAGCUUAUACCAAACGUAUUGUAGUGGAUGAAGUAACUGUACCAAACGUAUUGUAGUGGUUGAAGUAACUAUACCAAACGUAUUGUAGUGGUUGAAG
rnacentral:pre_miRNA from 1 species